UGCCGGGUCCUGCGCGGCGGAAGCCUUCGAACCCCGCCAGGACCGGAAGGUAGCAACGGUAAGAAGUCUCUUUCGGGCGUCGUAGGGAUGCCCGGCAACA
rnacentral:SRP_RNA from 1 species